UAUUGGGCGUAAGAGCUCGUAGGCGGUUUGUCGCGUCUGCCGUGAAAGUCCGGGGCUCAACUCCGGAUCUGCGGUGGGUACGGGCAGACUAGAGUGAUGUAGGGGAGACUGGAAUUCCUGGUGUAGCGGUGAAAUGCGCAGAUAUCAGGAGGAACACCGAUGGCGAAGGCAGGUCUCUGGGCAUUAACUGACGCUGAGGAGCGAAAGCAUGGGGAGCGAACAGGAUUAGAUACCCUGGUAGUCCAUGCCGUAAACGUUGGGCACUAGGUGUGGGGGACAUUCCACGUUUUCCGCGCCGUAGCUAACGCAUUAAGUGCCCCGCCUGGGGAGUACGGCCGCAAGGCUAAAACUCAAAGGAAUUGACGGGGGCCCGCACAAGCGGCGGAGCAUGCGGAUUAAUUCGAUGCAACGCGAAGAACCUUACCAAGGCUUGACAUGGACUGGAAAUACCUGGAAACAGGUGCCCCGCUUGCGGUCGGUUCACAGGUGGUGCAUGGUUGUCGUCAGCUCGUGUCGUGAGAUGUUGGGUUAAGUCCCGCAACGAGCGCAACCCUCGUUCUAUGUUGCCAGCGCGUUAUGGCGGGGACUCAUAGGAGACUGCCGGGGUCAACUCGGAGGAAGGUGGGGACGACGUCAAAUCAUCAUGCCCCUUAUGUCUUGGGCUUCACGCAUGCUACAAUGGCCGGUACAAAGGGUUGCGAUACUGUGAGGUGGAGCUAAUCCCAAAAAGCCGGUCUCAGUUCGGAUUGGGGUCUGCAACUCGACCCCAUGAAGUCGGAGUCGCUAGUAAUCGCAGAUCAGCAACGCUGCGGUGAAUACGUUCCCGGGCCUUGUACACACCGCCCGUCAAGUCACGAAAGUUGGUAACACCCGAAGCCGGUGGCCUAACCCCUUGUGGGAGGGAGCUGUCGAAGGUGGGACUGGCGAUUGGGACGA
rnacentral:rRNA from 1 species